rnacentral:rRNA from 1 species
UACAGAGGGGGCUAGCGUUGUUCGGAAUUACUGGGCGUAAAGCGUGCGCAGGCGGUGAUGUAAGACAGUUGUGAAAUCCCCGGGCUCAACCUGGGAACUGCAUCUGUGACUGCAUCGCUGGAGUGCGGCAGAGGGGGAUGGAAUUCCGCGUGUAGCAGUGAAAUGCGUAGAUAUCAAGUGGAACACCAGUGGCGAAGGCGAGUCCCUGGACAACUCCUGACACUGAGGCACGAAAGCUAGGGGAGCAAACAGG